ACAGUACAAAAUAUUAGUAUCUAUAUGUUUUGCUACAAAAUAAUCUAUUUUUUAUAAUAUUUGAUUAGAAGGUCGAUGCCCUAAAAAUGUUGAAACACUGUUUUCAAUACUGACUUUUAAAACAAUGUUACAUGCAAGGUUUACUGAAUUACAGGUGCGUACCCUGCACAACUUGAACAUCUCGUUCAUAAAGUCAGAUUGUUUUUUACGCACUGGGAGAAUGAAGUAGUCUUUUGAAAUUCUCUCAUUAUACAUUUAUGGGCCAUCUUUGUAUUUUUUAAGUAAAGGUGAAUCUGAAGCCUGUAGGCAGAAAAUAUAUGAAAAUAUGCAUUGUACAAUCUAUGAACCAGCUACGCUCUGGGUAAUUUUCAAACUUGAGAACAGCAAAAACAAACAAACGAACACAAAAACACAACAGCAGUAGCAACAACAAUAAUAAUGAAACAAAAGCAAAAGAUAAGUAGAUUUGACAACAGCUAUAGUUUUAUCAAAAUUUCCCCAACAGAACAAAUUAGGGAGUCAUUACAAAAGGAAGAAUGGAAUCAUAAUAAACAAUAUCUCUCCACCUGCUGGGGAGGCACAAUCCCUUGGUGCAUAAAAUGGUCACCAGCUAUACAAUUCCACUGAGAUCCAAUUUAAUAAGUUUUCACCACAUUUCAACCAAGAAUGUAAGCAAACAAACAUUAUAUAAUCUGUUACGUUGAUCUAGCAUCAAUCAUUUUUAGCCUUGAUACAUUUUAAAUAUAUUAAUUUUUUUUAGAUAAUGCAGAAAAAGUCUAUUCUAAGUUUCCAGUGAGCCCCCUGAGGCCAUGUAGAGAAUAUUAGGAUCUGAUAUAAUGACCGUUACAAGUUAUCAGCUUAAAAAAAAUCUAAACUAUGUGUUGACAAUUGGUUUCUCAGAAUAUAUGGGUAAGCCAAAGAAAUCACUAGACCGAAAUAUAAAGCGUGAGGCAUGCCAGAAAAAAUAACAUGUAAUUUGUCCCUGGAGAUGUAAUAAUUUUGAUGAAAGGCGAAAGUAACAUCAACAAAGACAAUAUACUUUGCCAGAGAGUCUUGCAAACAAUUUUAUAUGGACCAUAAAAAUCUCACUUCACUACAUUAUAAUAAUUGAGAUUCUGUGGUACUGGUUAAGAAAGUGGACUAGAGAUCAAGCUAAAUGGUGAUUUAAAAUAUUAGCAAAUAGGAUUCAGCAAGAAGCUAAAAUAGACAGUGAGCAUUUUCAUAAACUCUGCAAGAGUCUCCAACUACCAGUUGGUCAAAUCUCAAGGAUAAAAAUGAGAAAACACUGGAAGCUUGCAGCAACAGUUACUAUAUCCAAAUCUUGAAAAGUUGAUAAACAGAAUUUUAUGUCUAGAAACCUAACACUGUAUACUCUGUUUAAAAGACUCAUGGAACAAAAUAUUUUGGUAAGCGGUUAUAAGAUUUAGCUUCCAUAUCUUUUUUUCUUUUUCUUUUUUGGAAGUGGGUUUUGACAUUUGCUAACUGCUUGAGUGAAACAGACUCAUUAUUAGAAUUUCUAAAAAUAAAUUUUGUCCUCCAUACCCAUACUGCUCAAAGCAGAAAUCUGAGGGGUGACCACCAGUGGCAUACCCUGGGUACACUUCUUUAAGAGGAGGGAUAAAGGUCACUCACUUACCUCCACACAGUCCAGGCUUCCUCCAGGGGUACCCUGCUCUGCGGGAAUUUUAUUCAAUGAGUGUGAGAGAGAAACAGACCCAACAGGUGAGAGAGAUCACAUUGAAGCAGUUGUUUUGGCAUUUUGCCAAAGUUUAUGCAACUCCUUAUGUGGUCAAGUUUCUAUAUUAACCUCCCUAGGAAGUGCCAUGGCAAAGAGCUGAACCAAGUUCCUGUGGCUCCACUUUGUCUACAUUUCUACACCGUUUCCCAAGAUAUGAGCUCCCAUUAGCAGAUUUUUCAAAGGAUGCUUUUUAGGGACUUUACCUUUUGAACUGAAAAUGAGAAUAACAUAAAAAAUAGUAUUGCCCACCACUGCAACAGAAGAGAGUGUGUUGACAUGUCUGAUUUUUUAUCUAGAGGAAUUGUAGAAAGUUCCGAAUAAAUCCAAUGAUUGUAUCCUAAAGAAGCAUAGAGUCCACCCAGAGAACUGUCUAAGGAAGUCCAUGACACGUACAUUAUAAAGUAAGUACUGGUUUAUAUGUUCGUAUUUGAAUUUUUAAUAUAUUGGCUAUUUUUUUAAGUGGAGAAUAGCUAUCUGUUAACUUGUGGAAGUGUAAAUGGGGUUUGAUGGUUUGAAAAAAAAAUUUAAACCAAAGUUUCACACGCUCUUUUAUCUUCAUUCCGUAGCCAACAACUAAUUGCUUUAAAAAAAAGCAUUCUGUAAGAAAAGGAUCACUGGACUGGGAAUCAAAAGCCAGGUUUUUAAUCCUGACUUUUCUGCUUUGUCCUUGAGCAAGUCACCAAAAUCUUCUGAGUCUCAGCUUCUUAAUCUGUGAAAAGAAGGAGUUGAAUUAAAUUGUGCAGGAUGUCCAACUCUGAAGUUACAAACUUUGUACUAAACUACAUACAGAGUGGGGCAAAGAAAAAAAAAGAACAUUUUAGAGAACUUCAGGGAAGCCCCACUCCUGUGAUUAGUGACCCCAUUAAGAGGAACUAUUAAUCUUUUAAAAGUGUUUCAUAGGGCUUCCCUGGUGGCGCAGUGGUUGAGAGUCCGCCUGCCGAUGCAGGGGACACGGGUUCGUGCCCUGGUCCGGGAAGAUCCCACAUGCUGCGGAGCGGCUGGGCCCGUGAGCCACAGCCGCUAGCCUGCACGUCCAGAGCCUGUGCUCCGCAAUGGGAGAGGCCACUACAGUGAGAGGCUCGCAUACCAC
ensembl:lncRNA